rnacentral:rRNA from 1 species
UACAGAGGGGGCAAGCGUUGUCCGGAAUCACUGGGCGUAAAGGGUGCGUAGGCGGCUCGGUAAGUAGGGGGUGAAAUCCUGCGGCUCAACCGCAGGGCUGCCUUCUAAACUGUCGAGCUCGAGCACGGUAGAGGCAGAUGGAAUUCCCGGUGUAGCGGUGGAAUGCGUAGAGAUCGGGAAGAACACCGAUUGCGAAGGCAGCUCGCUGGGACGUCACUGACGCUGAGACGCGAAAGCGUGGGGAGCAAACAGG